AUGAACGCUGGCGGCAUGCCUAAUACAUGCAAGUCGAACGAAGAAAUGUUGCUUGAAGGUGCUUGCACCGGAUAGUUGCUUUCUUAGUGGCGAACGGGUGAGUAACACGUAGGUAACCUGCCUAGUAGUUGGGAAUAACAAUGGGAAACCGUUGCUAAUACCGAAUAUGAAUUCGAAGGGCAUCCUUUGAAUUUGAAAGGGGCUUUCAAGCCUCGCUAUUAGAUGGACCUGCGGCGCAUUAGCUAGUUGGUGAGAUAACAGCUCACCAAGGCGAGGAUGCGUAGCCGACCUGAGAGGGUGAUCGGCCACAAUGGGACUGAGACACGGCCCAUACUCCUACGGGAGGCAGCAGUAGGGAGUUUUCGGCAAUGGGGGAACCCUGACCGAGCAAUGCCGCGUGAGUUUAAUGAAGGUCUUAUGGAUCGUAAGGCUCUGUUGUAGGGGAUGAAACGUCUAGGGAGGAAAUGUCCUAGACUUGACAGUACCUUACCAGAAAGCCACGGCUAACUACGUGCCAGCCGCUGC
rnacentral:rRNA from 1 species